GUUUAACAGGUUGCACAUCAUCGACCAACUCGUAAAAUGUUACUUUUACUUACUGGUUCGUUUAACAGGUUGCACAUCAUCGACCAACUCGAAAGCAAGGGAUGUUUGGACCAAAUAAAGGAAUGUUUUAUGAACAAACAAAACAUCAAAAAAAUCAAAUAAUGAAGAACUUUUGCCAAUGGAAAUUGAAAUUUAGGAUACUACUGCUCAUUACAGUUCAUUUGACAAAUUUCACAUGUUUUUCUUUGGACAAUGAAAACUUUAUUUUACGGGAGUGUUCAUUGGAGACAUUGUCUGGAUUAAACUGGCUGGAUUGAUUGACCAUUGAUUUUUAUCUCAAUCUGAUCUCUAAAAGGAAAAAUGUUCUGGUGUUGGACUGCUUUGUAGUAACUAGCAUUUUGGAGGGAAAAGAUGAUAUUUUUGCACGCAUUCCCUAAAUAAAGUAUGAAGAAAUAUUUUUUAUUUUACCAUUUUCCUUGUUAACUUUGUGUCUGUCCUAACAUUAUAAUAUGGGCAGAGGUCAUAUCCAAAAGUAGAUGUUAAAAACUUGUUGUAUGAAUACAGUAUCUAAACAUGGCUGAGAAAACAUUUUUCAUCAUCGAGCCAACUGGUUUAAACCAAACAUGCACAACUGCUAUACAAAGAUUUUGGUAAGAUCAAAAUAUUUCAUGAACACAAAGUUAAAAUAUAUUAAACUUGUCAUUAUUUACACCAUUUCGUAUUCGCCUAUUAUAAUCCAAUUGUUCUGGGCGGUCCUCUAUAGCCUCUUUUUUCGAGACUUUUCUCGUCUGUACCACUUCGCGACUUGGUCCGAAUUUGCCGUCUUUUUUGAAAGUGACUCAUCAAAUAUUUGCCGCUUUUACACAGCACAGUAUAUAUACACGUAAUUACGUUUUCUACGUAAACUUGACCAAUGUUGUAAACUGUAACGUGUACGAAGCAGUAGUAAACACCAUUGUGGGUAAAUAUUGGUCAAAGUCUGCAGAUGGUUUCUGGGCACAUACUUGCAAUUACGUUUUCUACGUAAACUUGACCAAGUUGUAUUUCGUGCGCGUUGGUUUCUGGGUCGUUCUAUAGACUUAUCUGGAAAUUACGUAUCGGGGAAGUCGUGGAACGUAACUGCAAGGUCUGGAGUUAAACGAAACAUUCCUGCUGUUACGUAUCCACAGUUCCUGCUCUUUCUUCGUUUGUAUGCUUUUGCGCCGUGUGGCUGCUGCAGCGUGUUGUGAUUCGUAGUAAAAAGAUAAGAGAC